UAUACAUGCAAGUCGAACGCACUCUCGUUUAGAUUGAAGGAGCUUGCUCCUGAUUGAUAAACAUUUGAGUGAGUGGCGGACGGGUGAGUAACACGUGGGUAACCUGCCCUAAAGUGGGGGAUAACAUUUGGAAACAGAUGCUAAUACCGCAUAAAACCUAACACCGCAUGGUGUAGGGUUGAAAGAUGGUUUCGGCUAUCACUUUAGGAUGGACCCGCGGUGCAUUAGUUAGUUGGUGAGGUAAAGGCUCACCAAGACCGUGAUGCAUAGCCGACCUGAGAGGGUAAUCGGCCACACUGGGACUGAGACACGGCCCAGACUCCUACGGGAGGCAGCAGUAGGGAAUCUUCCACAAUGGACGAAAGUCUGAUGGAGCAACGCCGCGUGAGUGAAGAAGGUUUUCGGAUCGUAAAACUCUGUUGUUGGAGAAGAAUGUAUCUGAUAGUAACUGAUCAGGUAGUGACGGUAUCCAACCAGAAAGCCACGGCUAACUACGUGCCAGCAGCCGCGGUAAUACGUAGGUGGCAAGCGUUGUCCGGAUUUAUUGGGCGUAAAGCGAGCGCAGGCGGUUUCUUAAGUCUGAUGUGAAAGCCUUCGGCUCAACCGAAGAAGUGCAUCGGAAACUGGGAAACUUGAGUGCAGAAGAGGACAGUGGAACUCCAUGUGUAGCGGUGAAAUGCGUAGAUAUAUGGAAGAACACCAGUGGCGAACGCGGCUGUCUGGUCUGUAACUGACGCUGAGGCUCGAAAGCAUGGGUAGCAAACAGGAUUAGAUACCCUGGUAGUCCAUGCCGUAAACGAUGAGUGCUAGGUGUUGGAGGGUUUCCGCCCUUCAGUGCCGCAGCUAACGCAUUAAGCACUCCGCCUGGGGAGUACGACCGCAAGGUUGAAACUCAAAGGAAUUGACGGGGGCCCGCACAAGCGGUGGAGCAUGUGGUUUAAUUCGAAGCAACGCGAAGAACCUUACCAGGUCUUGACAUCCUUUGACCACUCUAGAGAUAGAGCUUUCCCUUCGGGGACAAAGUGACAGGUGGUGCAUGGUUGUCGUCAGCUCGUGUCGUGAGAUGUUGGGUUAAGUCCCGCAACGAGCGCAACCCUUAUUACUAGUUGCCAGCAUUUAGUUGGGCACUCUAGUGAGACUGCCGGUGACAAACCGGAGGAAGGUGGGGACGACGUCAAAUCAUCAUGCCCCUUAUGACCUGGGCUACACACGUGCUACAAUGGAUGGUACAACGAGUUGCGAGACCGCGAGGUUUAGCUAAUCUCUUAAAACCAUUCUCAGUUCGGAUUGUAGGCUGCAACUCGCCUACAUGAAGCCGGAAUCGCUAGUAAUCGCGGAUCAGCAUGCCGCGGUGAAUACGUUCC
rnacentral:rRNA from 2 species